UACGGGGGGGGCAAGCGUUGUUCGGAAUUACUGGGCGUAAAGGGCUCGUAGGUGGCCAACUAAGUCGGACGUGAAAUCCCUCGGCUUAACCGGGGAACUGCGUCUGAUACUGGAUGGCUUGAGUUCGGGAGAGGGAUGCGGAAUUCCAGGUGUAGCGGUGAAAUGCGUAGAUAUCAGGAGGAACACCAAUAGCGAAGGCAGCUCGCUGGGACGGUACUGACGCUGAGGCGCGAAAGCGUGGGGAGCGAACAGG
rnacentral:rRNA from 1 species